GGUAAAGAGUACUAACCUACUGAUGUGUGACAUCCCUCCCCCAUUGAUCAUCAGGGUAGAUUUAGCUGAUCUGACUGGAUAGACAGGUCCCCCCUUCCUUCCUCUCUCAACUCUCCAUGUGCAUCGCUCCCAAUGCUUUUCACUCAGUAGAAGAGAACAACCAUCCCAUAUAGAAGAGGUGUGAUGUUCCUUGAGUGCUCACUUACAUAUUUAUUAUUGGUCGGGCUCUUGAGGCUAAGUCUAUUAAG
rnacentral:snRNA from 11 species